GUGCUCACUUCAGCAGCACAGAUACUAAAAUUGGAAUGAUACAGAGAUUGGCAUGGCCCCUGCACAGGAAUGACAUGCAAAUUCAUGUAGUGUUCUGUAUUUUG